rnacentral:rRNA from 1 species
CCUACGGGAGGCUGCAGUGAGGAAUAUUGGUCAAUGGACGGAAGUCUGAACCAGCCAUGCCGCGUGCAGGAAGACGGCUCUAUGAGUUGUAAACUGCGUUUGUACAAGGGUAAACCGGAAUACGUGUAUGCAGCUGAAAGUACGGUACGAAUAAGGAUCGGCUAACUCCGUGCCAGCAGCCGCGGUAAUACGGAGGAUCCAAGCGGUAUCCGGAUUUAUUGGGUUUAAAGGGUGCGUAGGCGGAUUGAUAAGUUAGAGGGGAAAUGUCCGAGCUUAACUCGGGAACGGCCUCUCAUACUGUUGAUCUAGAGCGUAGUUGCGGUCGUCGUAUUGUUUGUUGUCGCUGUGACAUGCUU